GGUCCUGUAACUCAGUUGGUAGAGUGCCACCCUUACAAGGUGGAGGUCACUGGUUCGAGCCCAGUCGGGACCACCA
rnacentral:tRNA from 1 species